GCCGGGCAUGGUGGUGCAUGCCUGUAAUCCCAGCUACUCAGGAGGCUGAGGCAGGAGAAUCACUUGAACCCAGGAGGCGGAGGUUGCAGUGAGCCGAGAUAGAUCGCGCCACUGCACUCCAGCCUGGGUGACAGAGCAAGACUCUGUCUCAA
ensembl:misc_RNA Metazoa_SRP Metazoan signal recognition particle RNA